AUGUUGCUUCUGAACAUCCUGCUCACCGGUCAGGUACACCAGGGGUUGGAAAAACCACGCUAGGCAAAGAACUUGCAUCAAGAUCAGGACUGAAAUACAUUAAUGUGGGUGAUUUAGCUCGAGAAGGGCAGUUGUAUGAUGGCUAUGAUGAAGAGUAUGAAUGCCCCAUUUUAGAUGAAGACAGAGUAGUUGAUGAAUUAGAAAACCAAAUGAGCGAAGGUGGAGUUAUUGUUGAUUACCAUGGUUGUGAUUUCUUUCCUGAACGCUGGUUUCAUAUAGUUUUUGUGCUGCAAGCAGAUAACAGUGUAUUGUACAAAAGACUUGAAACAAGGGGUUAUAAUGAAAAGAAACUAAAAGAAAGUAUUCAGUGUGAAAUUUUUCAAGUUCUUUAUGAAGAAGCAUUAGCAUCCUACAAGGAAGAAAUAGUACAUCAACUGCCCAGCAAUAAACCAGAAGAUCUAGAGGAUAAUAUCAAUCAGAUAUUGAAGUGGAUUGAGCAGUGGAUCAAGGAUCAUAGCUCCUGACUUAUAAGACUGGCCACUUUACAACCACUCUUGUUAUAUCCCUGCCAUAAUGAAUAAAUUGUCCAGUUAUCAGUAAAACUUUCUUAUUAAGAUUGUGCUGCAGGACUAGUAUAUGGAUAAUCUAAAGGUUUAUGUUUGGGCUUUUUUUCUCCACGAGAAAGCAAAACAUUCUCAAGUAUAGUAUAUAUAAUAUCAUUAAGGAUUUAAAGUAAAAACUGUCAUCUUAAAUGCUUCAACUGCUGAAGAAUAAAUAAAUCUGACCAAA